AGCAGUAGCCACGGGAAUACGAAGGGGGCUAGCGUUGCUCGGAAUGACUGGGCGUAAAGGGCGCGUAGGCGGCGGCCAAAGUCAGGCGUGAAAUUCCCGGGCUCAACCUGGGGGCUGCGUUUGAUACUUGGUUGCUUGAGUGGGGAAGAGGGUCGUGGAAUUCCCAGUGUAGAGGUGAAAUUCGUAGAUAUUGGGAAGAACACCGGUGGCGAAGGCGGCGACCUGGUCCUUUACUGACGCUGAGGCGCGAAAGCGUGGGGAGCAAACAGGAUUAGAUACCCGAGUAGUCCCUGUCUCUUAUAC
rnacentral:rRNA from 1 species